UACAGAGGGUGCAAGCGUUGUUCGGAAUUAUUGGGCGUAAAGCGCGUGUAGGCGGCUUUGUAAGUCGGGUGUGAAAUCCCUCAGCUUAACUGAGGAAGUGCGCCCGAAACUACUUGCCUUGAGUGCCGGAGAGGAAAGCGGAAUUCCUGGUGUAGAGGUGAAAUUCGUAGAUAUCAGGAGGAACACCAGUGGCGAAGGCGGCUUUCUGGACGGUAACUGACGCUGAGACGCGAAAGCGUGGGGAGCAAACAGG
rnacentral:rRNA from 1 species